rnacentral:pre_miRNA from 1 species
UGUGUACUCCCUCCAUUCCAAAAUACUUGACUUCCAUUUGUCCAAAAAUGGAUGUACCUAUAUACUAAAACAUUUCUAGAUACAUAUAUAUUUUGACAAAUAGAAGGCAUGUAUUGUGCAACGGAGGGAGUAGAAU